rnacentral:rRNA from 1 species
AUUGAACGCUGGCGGCAGGCUUAACACAUGCAAGUCGAGCGGAGCGGCGGACGGGGGAGUAAUACCUAGGAAUCUGCCCGGUCGCGGGGGAGAACGUUCGGAAACGGACGCUAAUACUGCAUACUAUCAGAUGAGCCUAGGCCGGAUUAGCUAGUUGGUGGGGUAAAGGCUAACCAAGGCCACGAUCCGUAACUGGUCUGAGAGGAUGAUCAGUCACACUGGAACUGAGACACGGUCCAGACUCCUACGGGAGGCAGCAGGGGGGAAUGUUGGACAAUGGGCGAAAGCCUGAUCCAGCCAUGCCGCGUGUAUGAAGAAGGUCUUCGGGUUGUAAAGCACUUUAGGUUGGGAGGCGUUACCGGCAGAAUAAGCACCGGCUAACUCUGUGCCAGCAGCCGCGGUAAUAC